CAAGGUCUUGGUCUUAAACCUCUUAUUAUCUAAACUCCCUACUUAUACAUGCAAGCCUCAACAUAACAGUGAAACAGCCCACCACAGCCAUUACGGAGCAGGUAUCAGGCCAACCGCCCAUAACACCAAGUAAUAAACCACACCCUCACGGGCCAGCAGCAGUAAUUAAUAUUGGGCCAUAAGCGCAAGCUUGACCCAAUAACAGAGUUCUGCCCAGGGUUGGUAAACCUCGUGCCAGCGACCGCGGUUAUACGACAAACCCAAGAUAAUACCAUCGGCGUAAAGCACGACUAAACCCCAUAGUUUUAACCAUUAGGGCUGAAAUCUAAACCUGGUUGUAAAAAGCCACAAGUAACACUAAACACCAGGCCCUAAUACAAAAACAACCUUAACUCGUGAAAGUCAGGACACAAACUAAGAUUAGAUACCUUACUAUGCCCGACCAUAACAAGACAAUUAAAUAACCGAUUGUUCGCCAAAUAACUACGAGUGAAAACUUAAAAUUUAAAAGACUUGACGGUACCUCACAUCUACCUAGAGGAGCCUGUCUAAUAACCGAUAACCCACGAUUAACCCAACCCACUCUAGCCUAACAGUCUAUAUACCGCCGUCGCCAGCUUACCUUGUGAAAGAAUCAUAGUAAGCCCAAUAAUACCCCAUUAACACGACAGGUCGAGGUGUAACUAAUGAGUGGGACCAAGAUGGGCUACACUUUCUUAAACAGAAAAAACGAACAGACUAUGAAACUAGAAACUGAAGGAGGAUUUAGCAGUAAAGUAGGAACAGACAAGCCUAACUGAAACCAACGCAAUGAAGUGCGCACACACCGCCCGUCAUCCCUGUAAAAUUCACAACACAUAAAUAAACAAUGUGAUCAAACCAAACAGGGCAAGUCGUAACAUGGUAAGCGUACUGGAAAGUGUGCUUAGAAA
rnacentral:ncRNA from 2 species